rnacentral:rRNA from 1 species
AUGGAUCCGAUGGACAUCGUGGGCAAGUCCAAGGAGGACGUCUCCCUCCCCAAAUCAACAAUGACCAAGAUUAUCAAGGAGAUGCUACCGCCUGAUGUUCGAGUAGCAAGAGAUACACAGGAUCUUCUUGUUGAAUGCUGUGUAGAGUUCAUCAAUCUUCUUUCUUCGGAAUCCAAUGACGUGUGCAGCCGGGACGACAAGAAAACUAUUGCCCCUGAACAUGUUAUUAGGGCUUUGCAGGAUCUUGGCUUCAAGGAGUAUGUUGAAGAAGUUUAUGCAGCCUACGAACAGCACAAGCUUGAAACUCUGGACUCUCCAAAAGCAACCAAGUUCACUGGUAUAGAGAUGACUGAAGAAGAAGCUGUUGCUGAACAGCAGAGAAUGUUUGCUGAAGCCCGAGCAAGGAUGAACAAUGGAGCUGCCAAACCAAAGGAGCCUGCAUUAGAACCACAGAAUCAACCCCAACAGCCCCCACAACCUCAUCUGCAGCUGCAUCCCCAAGCACAGCAGCCUCCACAACCUCAACCGCAACUGCAUUAUCCUCAAUCACAGCAGCCCCUGCAACCGUUUACUCAGGCUCCACCACAGCAACCCCUGCAUCCUCAACUGCAACAGUAUACUCAGGCUCCACCACAGCAACCCCUACAACCUCCACUGCAGCUGUAUCCUCAGGCUCAACCUGAGCAACCGCUGCAGCCUCAAUCCUCAGGAUCAACCACAGGAACCUGUGUAAUCUCAGCUGCAGCUCCAUCUGCAACCGGCACCACUGCUGCUGCAACCUCCGCCCCAGCAAUCCCCGCAAUCUCAACUGCAGCUCCAUCAGCAACCCCAGCCGACGCUAGUGCCGCCGCCGCAACCUCAACCCCAGCCACCUGA